GACCGAGAGGAACUAAGAGAAGAGGAAUACGGCGAAGGAGAAGAAGAAGAGCUUGACGGUGGCGCUAUCUUUGACAUGUUAGCUGUGCUUUGAGUCAAGGUUCUAUUGUUUGUCUCUUGGCUUGCAUGAUCGAUAAUUGCUGUGGGAAGAUUGCCCUUGGUUCUGAACCUUGCUAAUCAGAGGAGUUUCUUCGAAUGGUGGAAGGUCAGGACACCAAAUAUGCAGGGAACUCCUGCAAAGUCAUCUCAGAAAUGCUUCAGUUUCUCAUCUUGGUGGCAAUUGGGGAAUGAAGACAUGGUAAAUCACAGAGAGUUGAAAAUAAUAGAAUGAAGACUAUCGUCAAGGCAUGUGAGAGGAAGCAUAAGGUUGGUAGCAGAGGAGAGAAGAGAAUAGAAGAGGAAAAUUAUCUGACAAAUGUUGAGAUUGUUAGCAUCAAGGGAUUAGUUAGAAAACUCUUACGGGCUCACACGAGGACUAAAACAAAUUAAACUCGUUUGACUAAAUACUUAAAGCAAAGAUAGAUAAAUAAAUAAGAAGAUUUCAGAGGGAGAGCAUAGAUAUCACUCAACAGUACUUCAUUUUUAAGAAGUUUUAUCCAUGUUUGAUGUUAGUCAGAAUGUUAGUUAGUAAACAUAGAAAUUGAUCUAAACUAAAUAUUUUUGUGA